rnacentral:misc_RNA from 1 species
UUAACUAUUAUAUAGUACUCAGACGUCACUUAAACAAAAGAGUUUGGGUCCUCUGGCGGGCACGGUCAGCCGGAGCCGACGCCGUAAGGCGGCCCGCCAAAGCAACAGAGAAGGUAGACACGGGUUUAAGUCCCUCCUAAGGCUAAUAUUACUAUAUGCCUCCGCAAACCAGAACCACAACGCUUGCACUAAAGCAUGCCGAGUCCCUUGAGACCGACAACGUUAUGGGAGAUCCAGCCGGCCUCUCCACGGUGGAAGCUACCCGGACUGCUAAUGCGUGGAGUCUAUCCUACCCAACGAGGGGUGUGGGAAAACUUAUUAAUGAUCCUUCCGCAGGUUCACCUACGGAAA